UCAGUUACAUGUUUAUUAUGAUCAGGCUGUCAGGCUUAUGUAAGCAAAAGAAUAAUGUCCAAUUCCAAGGAGCGAUGGUGGGCAAAGAACUCCAAACAAUUUUGGGAGAUGACUGAUGAGGCCCUGUUUUGAUGGCCUUCUCAGACUGUCAGCUGCGCCCCGACCUGAGAGGGGAGUAGUGCAAUGGAUUCUCUCUGGAAAGUGAAAUCAAAGAGGCCUCAGGGAUGAAAGAUCAUCAUGUCACACAAGCCUAAGAACUGGCUUUUGAUGAGAGGGCUUCUGGCUUCCGGUUCCUUUCCAUAAAAAUGACAAUCUCCUGAGGGCUGUCUCUUUUGCCAUGGCAUGUACACAGUGCUUGGCACAUGUGAGUGGUCAAAUUGAAUCAAGUUGAGUGUGAGAGCCAGGAAGAAUGAAUGAAUGAUGUUCAUGUGGAACCAAUACACAAGGUGAACAACUGAAGAUCUCUUCUUCCCCAAAUAAUCAGAAUCCCUUUACCUCAGCUCUGUUUACCCUGGUGUAGCACCUCUUAAACCCAGUUCAUUUGUUAUCUGAUGGUCCUCUGUAUCACUUAUAUCAUCCUUGUUUAUCCCCAGAGAGAUAGAGAGAAGAGUUCUUACUUUUGCCUUGAGGCAUGUCUCAGCUUUAUAUAAACUUGCUUUUUUUUUUUUUUUUGCUUUUAUUCUCUUCUCUUUUAUAUUUAUCAUCUUAUCUCAAGAUCCCAAAAUGAGUUUUCCUGGGUAAAUAAUACACAUUUGCUGCUCUCAAGUCCUCUUCCAUAUCCCCUUCUCAUUUAUGACCUAAAUAAGAUCAGUCUCCAAGCCUUAUCAACCCAAUCUUUGAAAUACCUUGAGAGUUGGGUGCUAGCUAGCGCAGCAGGUUAA